CCUACGGGUGGCAGCAGUGAGGAAUAUUGGUCAAUGGGCGAGAGCCUGAACCAGCCAAGUCGCGUGAGGGAGUACUGCCCUAUGGGUUGUAAACCUCUUUUGUCGGGGAGCACAAGCCGGACGUGUCCGGCUGUGAGAGUACCCGAAGAAAAUGAAUCGGCUAACUCCGUGCCAGCAGCCGCGGUAAUACGGAGGAUGCGAGCGUUAUCCGGAUGUAUUGGGUUUAAAGGGUGCGCAGGCGGAUUUUUAAGUCAGCGGUCAAAUCGUGGGGCUUAACCCCAGCCCGCCGUUGAUACUGGUGAUCUAGAGUGGGCGAGAGGUAUGCGGAAUGCGUGGUGGAGCGGUGAAAUGCAUAGAUAUCACGCAGAACCCCGAUGGCGAAGGCAGCAUACCGGUGCACAACUGACGCUCAGGGACGAAAGCGUGGGUAUCGAACAGGAUUAGAUACCCCGGUAGUC
rnacentral:rRNA from 1 species